rnacentral:rRNA from 1 species
AUGGAUAGCUUAGUUUUCUUGUACAUACUUUGUAGUUUCAGUGAUGAGACAUAUAUGUCAACUAUGGGUGUUGGCUCCAGCAAUUCUCAUUGGUCUCAAACCAAUGAAGUGCAUGAAGAUGAUCAUGAGCUUGAGGUGGAUGAGGAUGGUGAGGGUAUCGUCGAUGCACCGAAAGGAAGAGCGGGCAACUACACCAUGGAGGAAGACAUCUUGCUAUGCAAUACAUGGUUGCAAGUGUCUAUGGAUGCCAACGUUGGAGGGGAACAAAGUAGAGAUGCAUAUUGGAUCCGGAUGAAGGAGAACUUUUAUGUACACAACACGAGUGGAAUUCACCGCACGGAGAGAUCUCUUCGCUCCCGGUGGUCGACAAUUAACAAAGAUUGUCAAAGAUGGGCGGCGACACUUAAGGUGGUUGAUACGAUCAACCCAAGUGGCACUAAUGAUAGAGAUAGGGUAAGCCAUUUCUUUCAUGCUAACUUGUUCCUUCCAUGUUCAUGCUUUUUGUUGUUGUUUGAAAUGCUAACCUUUUUUGUAGCUCGCUAUUGCACAAAACUUAUUUCAAGGAUAAGAGAAGAAGAUCGAGAAAAGGGAAGGUCAAGAAAGGGAGACCAUUCGUGUUUGCCCAUUGCUACAAUGUGUUGA